UGACGUGAGACUGGGUUGGGUUGUCAGUUGGUUUGCUAUUGUAGCAGGUUGAUUGGUCGCAGGUGGUUUCAAUCACACUCACUCUCUCUGGACCAAUCAGGAAGUAACUGCAUGCUAUAUAGGCAGGGGGUUUGACCUCUUGACACUUUUACUCUUUGUUGCUGGAAGCACAUUUCCGCUUUGGGUCCUUUUGCGUGGUGCAGUCACGGUUGUGCAACAGUGUCUCCCUGUUACAAACCCGAUCCUUCCUGUAACGGAACCCGGUUGAGUGUUGCUGCUGGCUCUGUGUAGCUGUACUAUCGGCACUGUCGGUGUAUUGGUGCAAAGCUCCUUGACGGGGUUGUAAAAUUGCUUCGCUUGCGCUGGUAUCUGCAAUAGCCCCUCCCUUCCCUGCCACGCUGCUGUUUUGUCUCAACUGACUUUUGUUUCAACCACUGUCAACGGGUUGUAACCACACGAGCUCACGCCAGGCUUUGAACGCCUCUACGCGCCUUUCAGCGCCAGGAUCUGUUGCCAAAGUGUCCGACAGGGCUGUAUUUGAGUGAUUGUGACACGGACGAUAGCUUUGCCUUUCUUUGGCUUGCCCGUGCUUACUAAUGUGUAUGGAGAUUGGGGUUUAUGUUUAUGGGUUUAUUUGUUAAAUUAUGAUUAAGUGAUUUUUGGUUAAUUUAUAUUUCUUUUUGUUUAAGUCCUGAUAAGACUCAUUUCUGUUGAAACUUUAUGAUUUUAUCUGUUAAUCUUUUGUUUGGCUCCAGGCAGCUCGGAUUAAGUGAUCUUUGGUUGAUUUUUAUUUCUGUUUAAGUUGUGAUAACGACUUUCAUUUUUGCUGAGACCUUUAUGGUUUAUUUGUUAAUUUUGGUUAUUUGUUAUGCUCUAGGCAGCUAUUUAGACACCUUUGCUGCCUAGAUUUGCCUUAGAUUGAAGUUUUUCAUUUAUUUUUGGUUUGAUUCAUUUUCCCUCCCCAAUAAUUGAAUGUUCUUCUCCUAUAGGUGCUGAGUGCCGAAGGUGGUGGUGUCAGUGUCCCCAGUGGUGGUGUCUCCCUCCUGUGUGCUGUGUUUUCCCCCUUGGUUUAUUUUGAGUUUCUCACCACUGUGCGUGUGUGUGUGUGUUCACGUGUGACUGGGGUGAUCCUUCCCUGAGACCCCACACCCUUUGACCCUGUCCCUCCACCGGUAAGGCCUCAGCACUUAUUUACCACAUUUAGUAGGUCUGGUAUUUUAAAUAGUCUUUUAUAUUUGAUGUUUUAGUAAUUGUAUUAAUAAAAUCAUUGUUUUUGAUGGAA